rnacentral:rRNA from 1 species
UACGGAGGAUGCGAGCGUUAUCCGGAUUUACUGGGUGUAAAGGGAGCGUAGACGGUUAUGUAAGUCUGGAGUGAAAGCCCGGGGCCCAACCCCGGGACUGCUUUGGAAACUGUGUAACUGGAGUACAGGAGGGGCAGGCGGAAUGCGCGGUGUAGCGGUGAAAUGCAUAGAUAUCGCGCAGAACUCCGAUUGCGAAGGCAGCGUACCGGCGCCGGACUGACGCUGAGGCACGAAAGCGUGGGUAUCGAACAGG